rnacentral:rRNA from 1 species
CCUACGGGGGGCAGCAGUGGGGAAUAUUGCACAAUGGGCGAAAGCCUGAUGCAGCAACGCCGCGUGAGCGAUGAAGGCCUUCGGGUCGUAAAGCUCUGUCCUCAAGGAAGAUACUGACGGUACUUGAGGAGGAAGCCCCGGCUAACUACGUGCCAGCAGCCGCGGUAAUACGUAGGGGGCUAGCGUUAUCCGGAAUUACUGGGCGAAAAGGGUGCGUAGGUGGUUUCUUAAGUCAGAGGUGAAAGGCAACGGCUCAACCGUAGUAAGCCUUUGAAACUGGGGAACUUGAGUGCAGGAGAGGAGAGUGGAAUUCCUAGUGUAGCGGUGAAAUGCGUAGAUAUUAGGAGGAACACCAGUUGCGAAGGCGGCUCUCUGGACUGUAACUGACACUGAGGCACGAAAGCGUGGGGAGCAAACAGGAUUAGAUACCCGGGUAGUC